UACGGAGGGGACUAGCGUUGUUCGGAAUUACUGGGCGUAAAGCGCACGUAGGCGGAUUUGUAAGUCAGGGGUGAAAUCCCGGGGCUCAACCUCGGAACUGCCUUUGAUACUGCAAAUCUCGAGUCCGGAAGAGGUGAGUGGAAUUCCUAGUGUAGAGGUGAAAUUCGUAGAUAUGUGGAGGAACACCGAUGGCGAAGGCAGCCCCCUGGGAUGUGACUGACGCUCAUGUACGAAAACGUGGGGAGCAAACAGG
rnacentral:rRNA from 1 species